rnacentral:rRNA from 1 species
UUAAGCAUAUUAAUAAGCGGAGGAAAAGAAACUAACAAGGAUUCCCCUAGUAACGGCGAGUGAAGCGGGAUGAGCUCAAGCUUAAAAUCUCCAUACAAUUUUUGUAUGGCGAAUUGUAGUCUAUAGAAGCGUGGUCAGUGUAGGCACUUGGGGUAAGUUCCUUGGAAAAGGACAGCAUGGAGGGUGAUACUCCCGUUUAUCUCUAAGUUGCUUAUACGUACGACCCGUUUUCUUUGAGUCGCGUUGUUUGAGAAUGCAGCGCAAAGUAGGUGGUAAAUUCCAUCUAAAGCUAAAUAUUGGUGCGAGACCGAUAGCAAACAAGUACCGUGAGGGAAAGAUGAAAAGAACUUUGAAAAUAGAGUUAAAGAGUACCUGAAACUGCUGAAAGGGAACCAAAUCGUUUCCAGUGUCUAUAAUCCGUGGUAUAUCACAUCGGCGAGCGUGUGCGUGUGUGUGCUGUUGUAGUGGCCUUUUGGUUACGCUCGGCGUAUGUGCUGUAUAUGCUUGCUGGUGCCCUGUACUGCGGUGGGACGUCAAGGUCAGUUCGUAUGCUGCGGGAAAUGACUACCAAGGAGGUAGGGCUUACGCUUGCGUUUGUCUGUUAUAUCUUGGUAGACGAGUAGUCGCGGUUGGGACUGAGGUGCCUACAACGUGCUUUUGAGUGGGCUUGGGUCUUCGUGUGCGCCGUGUGCGGAUAGCUUGCUAUGCGUGUGUGGUUGUGUAUGGAUUGAUGCGAGCCUUAACUUGUAGUCGUUCGGGACGUUGACGAAAUGGAACGAUUUGACCCGUCUUGAAACACGGACCAAGGAGUCUAACAUAUGUGCAAGUGUUAUGGUGUGGAAACCCCAGCCGCGUAAUGAAAGUAAAGGACAGCGUAAGCUGUCUUAUGUAGGAAUGCUGCGCCCUUCGGCUUGUGCUGUGGCACUAUCGACCGAUCAUGAACCCUCGUGGUGAAAGAUUUGAGUUUGAGCACAUAUG